rnacentral:lncRNA from 8 species
CUCACUGUUUUGAUAUGGCCAAUACAUUAUGGUGCUAUCUGGACCUGCAUGGCAAUGAAGCAAGGUAAUUUUCAGAUUUUCCAACCUGCAGAGUACAUUCACUUUCCUUUCUCUCUCCCGUUUUCAGGCUUCACUGUGUCUUCAUCGAAGGCGGUUGCGGGUCGCGUUCCGUCGGGACCCACUGUCUCAUUCUCCUUAUUAAGAACCUGUCCUGAGACACAACAAUAAACACACACACAGCCAGCUUCUGUCCUCAGCUCACACCUAAACUGGAUGGAGGUUGGAGACAACUCUUUGUGAGUGUGAUUACACUUGCAUUUUUACCAAGACGAUGCGUUUCCAUUCCCAUCCACCUUGAGACCGCUCUGCUCUAUCAGAUCCCAGGAUAGUACCUGUCUACAUUGAUCCCUGGUCUCGGGCCUUUAAGAACCACAGCUGGGAUCAGGUAAUGCAUUCUAAUGGGCAAGAGAAACAGCCACUCGGGGUAAGGAGCCAAUGCAGCGAUGCGGAAGGAAUCAUAAGGCCAUGUGACGCAGAACUGGACGGUGUUCAGAUGUCAACACCUUCUGCAGCCUGGUUGAUGGAUGAGAGCCGGGUGGCAUAUACACCAGCAUACAGCACUGACCUACUUAUUUCAUAGACCAUUGACCACACUCAUGUAUUCCCUAAGUGUGUGUGUGUGGGGGGGGGGGGGGGGGGGGGGGGGGGGUUGAGAUGGACUAGAGGUGUACUGGUCCGGAGAGGCUGCUGAGGACAGGUAAUGGCAUCAUUGAUCAUCACAGUGGUCCCCAAAGGAUGGUCUGUCUGACCGUCGUCAAGGCCCAGUCAAUCAAUCAAAUGUAUUAAUAA